GUUUCUCUUUCAGCCUGCUCUCUGUGGAUCAGGAUGUAAAUCUCUCAGGUACAUGCCUAUCUGCUUCCUACCAUGCUGACAACGGACUAACCCUCUAAAACUGAUACCCAGGUUCCAGCCCCAACAUGCAACAGAACCUAGCAGCUUCUGCCACACGGUUCUGGAUUUAGAGUCAAGAAGGAUAUAGGAACUGGCCUGUGAAAUCUUCCUCCAAUGUUAAGAAAAGUCAUUGGAGCCAGGCAUAUGGUAGGGCAGUCCCUGCCUGGAGGCCCAGAGAAGAGACUGCAUGAAGCAGCAAAAGUAAAGCCUGGAUUACCUUGGAGACCCCAAGAUGUUGAAGAUGCCAAAGCCAUGAGAUACUGCCAAGAACAACUGCUCAGAGAAGGUGGAACCAGCCCAAGAGAGAUUUGUGUGUUGCAGUCAUCAAAGCUGGAAGGGAAGAGCCAUCUAAUAAAUCCUUUAAUAUUAGACAUGGAGUUGCAGAAUUUGGAAUUUUCCCUGCUGAUUUUCAGUCUUGCUUGGUCCAAUAUUUCCUCAUUAUGCUCCUUUUCCUCCCUUGUUUGAUUAUGAAUAUCCUAUUAAAAGUAAAAUUUGUCAAGAAUUAACAA